AACAGCUGGAGCGGCUACUCUAUCUCACCGUGUCCAGCAGAUACAGCUACUGAGCUGGUCAACCUAUCAGGUACCACCAUCACAUCCUAUGCAUUUAUCGGGGUAAUCUCCGGUAACUGCGGUACAGUGACACCUUCCCUAAGGUGUUUGGGUGCCACGGGGCUGACACGAACACCUGCAUUCGAAAUGUUACUGCCGACUGAGACUUGUAGCAAUCACCACAUCGUCACCGCCCUCCCGGUAAGGACUGGUGGUGUCGUCAUGGCGAUCAUCACGUGUGAGGGGGC